UACGAAGGGGGCUAGCGUUGCUCGGAUUUACUGGGCGUAAAGGGCGCGUAGGCGGACAGUUAAGUUGGGGGUGAAAGCCCGGGGCUCAACCUCGGAAUUGCCUUCAAUACUGGCUGUCUUGAGUACGGGAGAGGUGUGUGGAACUCCGAGUGUAGAGGUGAAAUUCGUAGAUAUUCGGAAGAACACCAGUGGCGAAGGCGACACACUGGCCCGUUACUGACGCUGAGGCGCGAAAGCGUGGGGAGCAAACAGG
rnacentral:rRNA from 1 species